UACGAAGGGGGCUAGCGUUGUUCGGAAUUACUGGGCGUAAAGCGCACGUAGGCGGAUAUUUAAGUCAGGGGUGAAAUCCCAGAGCUCAACUCUGGAACUGCCUUUGAUACUGGGUAUCUCGAGUAUGGAAGAGGUGAGUGGAAUUCCGAGUGUAGAGGUGAAAUUCGUAGAUAUUCGGAGGAACACCAGUGGCGAAGGCGGCUCACUGGUCCAUUACUGACGUGAGGUGCGAAAGCGUGGGG
rnacentral:rRNA from 1 species